AGAAUUGAGUUGUCUGAUAAGGAUUUUUAUAUAACCAAACUAGUGAAGGAAAAAGAAGAGAAAGUCCUGAAGCAAUCUAAAAGUACUAGUUCUAUUGGAUUGCAAUUUAAUUAUCUGAUUCCUUCAAUGAAUUCACUAGACUCUAGUGUCAUUAUAGCUGGACAGAAGCUCUUUACCCUGCAAGGAGACAGGUCUCACUCAUUCCAGUGGGAGAAAUAUGGAUUCAGAUUAGUGUGUCCUCAAGGAGCAGUGUCCAAGGAUA